rnacentral:rRNA from 1 species
UACGAAGGGUGCAAACGUUGCUCGGAAUCAUUGGGCGUAAAGCGCACGUAGGCGGCGCAGUAAGUCGGACGUGAAGUCCCUCGGCUCAACCGAGGACGUGCAUCCGAAACUACUGUGCUCGAGUAUGGAAGAGGGUCGCGGAAUUCUCGGUGUAGAGGUGAAAUUCGUAGAUAUCGGGGGGAACACCAGUGGCGAAGGCGGCGACCUGGGCCAAUACUGACGCUGAGGUGCGAAAGCGUGGGGAGCAAACAGG